rnacentral:rRNA from 1 species
CGUACGCAACCUUCCUUUAACUGGAGAAUAGCCCCUCGAAAGAGGGAUUAAUACUCCGUAACAUAUACAUGUGGCAUCACAAGUAUAUUAUAGCUUCGGCGGUUAGAGAUGGGCGUGCGCCUGAUUAGAUAGUUGGCGGGGUAACGGCCCACCAAGUCUGCGAUCAGUAACUGGUGUGAGAGCACGACCAGUCACACGGGCACUGAGACACGGGCCCG